CUGACAAGUCCCAAAUAGGACGAAACGCGCGUC
rnacentral:hammerhead_ribozyme from 1 species